rnacentral:rRNA from 1 species
CAAUAGCGUAUAUUAAAGUUGUUGCAGUUAAAAAGCUCGUAGUUGGAUUUGUGGCGUACGGUGGGUUCCGGGCACUUGUUGUCUGAGUAACUUGCUGUUGCCAUCCUUGGGUGGAACCUGUGUGGCAUUAGGUUGUCGUGCAGGGGAUGCCCAUCAUUUACUGUGAAAAAAUUAGAGUGUUCAAAGCAGGCUUAUGCCGUUGAAUAUAUUAGCAUGGAAUAAUGAGAUAGGACUUUUUUGCUAUUUUGUUGGUUUGCGCAAAGAGGUAAUGAUUAAUAGGGACAGCUGGGGGUAUUCGUAUUCCAUUGUCAGAGGUGAAAUUCUUGGAUUUUUGGAAGACGAACUACUGCGAAAGCAUUUACCAAGGAUGUUUUCAUUAA